ensembl:lncRNA
GCCCAAGCAAUGCAACACUUCACUGUGAGGCAGAGGGUGACUCACUGGACUACAGCUGGUUUGGGCCUGGACUAAAGACUGCAGAGAUGAGGGGCCAGACUGGACCACAGAUCAGUAAGGAGAACCAGGACUCAGUCUACACCUGUGUGGUGAACAACCCAGUUAGUCACAGCAGUGUGACCUACCAUGCCAGUGGCUGCUUUACCUCAGGAGAUCAUCAGCUCAUCCUAGGUGUAGUGUGUGCUGUUGCUGUUAUUGGAGUCAUUGGUGCUGCUGCUGGGUUGGUCUAUUACUGCUACAAGAUCAACUCAAGAGGGCAGAGACACACUGGAAAUGAGAUCAAACAUGAGACGGAUGGAAAGAUUAUAACCAACCAAAAGAAGGAAGAGAGUGUACUAUUGCUCACUGGAAAACAUCAAGCUUCAUCUUGUGCAGUAACACAAAAUACCUGUGACCAAUCCUUAAACUCAAUUGAACCUACAGGUAAAAGGCUAGAGGAGAGUGUGAAUGUAGGAGACAAUUCAAGUGGAAAAUCAAUUAUAACAGGCAGUCAAGCUACUCACACAGCAGCAACAAAUACCUGUGACGGGUCUUCAGACGCUGAGGAUAGAGUUACAGGUGAUGUUCAAGAGGACAAAAUGGAUACCACUGUAAGGCUCAGCAAUGAUGACGUCACCAAUAUACCGACACAAGAAGGGCAGAAAGAGAGAAUAGGGGAAGGGGGGAGUUUAGAUGGACAAUCAACAAAUUCAGUUCAGGAUGAACCUGCUGUUCAUGAUGGAAUGAAGCAGCAUGAAGAAGUGAACAACAAUCCCACAGCUGUAAAGAGUUAUUUAAGAGGAGUCCUGCUAAAUAUAUUUGAUACCAGUAUUACAAUGAACCCAAAAGCUUGUAAUUUGAUCAAGAAUGACCCGGGCCCCUUUACGCAAUUAGACUCUGCACCAAGGUCUGAUGAGAGUGCUAAGCCUUCCCCAACAGUUGUAACAUGCCCACAUGCCGAUUCCUCCUCUGGAUCUCCCAGACAGUCCAGAUACACUGAUGCUGUUAGAGAUGCAAAUAAGUGUUCAGGUAACAUGAAUAUGGAGGGGACCUGUGAAUAUGAGAGAGGAACAAACACAGUAACAGAGGAACAGAACCAAACCGCCGACCCGUCACUCUCUGGAUCAGCAGGAAGCAUCAGGAAUGAUGACAUCAUCAACACAUUACCACAUGGAGGGCAGGAAGAGGGAAUGCAGGUUGACGAUACACACUUCAAAAGUGAAUGAAGAUUCAACAUUUCCUGAAGAAACAAAACGCAUAUGCUAAUUCUUCCAACACUACUGUUGACAAACCUACAAGUGAGGAUUAAGCUGAAAUAUCAAUGACUGAAUGUAAAAGUAAUUCAGCAUCUGUGACAUGCUCAAAUACUGACACUGAUCCCACUGAUGAAGCCAGCUUCCCCCCAGCUCAGCCAAAUGAUGAACAGAGUCCUGGUGAAAACACUAAAGAAUCAGUAUCUGCCUAAAAGCCUGAGGGUGAAGCUGAACCGCUCUCCAAAGAUCACUUGAACCCAGAAGCAGGAUAAACCCAAACACUACAAAAAUGAGAGCGAAAGACUGAUGAUCCAGUGAUUACACAAUCUGCUGGCACACAAGUUCAUUCACAAAGUGAUACACUUGACACAAGUCACCUCUCUAUAGACACCCCAAUAGGACCCCAGACCCAAGUCAAAAUGCUUGCAGAAGAACUGAAAGAAUCUUCAGACAACCCCUAAGCUUAAGGUAUCAAAUCAAAUAAAAUGUAAAAUCAUUUUAUUUUAUAACCUGAUUGUGUAUUUCGUUGUCUUUUUCUGCAAUCCUAUUUGCACAUACUGUAUGUAUCUUGAUGAUGCAUGGGGCAAUAUCUUAAUUCUUGGCUUUUAGAUAUGUGUUACUGCGCAGGGCCCCCCUGUACGAAAAAAAAGGCAAACUAAACCAAAACUGCGGACAGAAAAGGUGAUCAUGUUUACUGAAACCUCAUGGUCAGGAAUAUCAUUCACUUAACUAGCCAGACACUUCUUCAUGUUCACUACAGAAGAACUGGCCUGUUUAUGAGUCUUUAUGGCUCACAGAGACAAUCUGCUGUGAAACAGCUCUUUCAUUUUAUGACAUGUAGCAUGUGUGAUAUGUGUCCUUAAAAACCUGCAUAUGAUUAGUAGCAUUGCUAGAUGAUCACUAAAGAAGUCCAUCUUACCAAGCAUCUUCAUCAGUCCGAAGAAAUUCUACUGCUGCAGUUGGAGUGUCAGUGUCAAUGAUGUGACAACAAGCAGCUAUAUUUUCUCUCAUAAAUGUUGUACGGCAGUUCAUGAUAUUGGCUACACUACCUUUUUAAUCUUUUUUUUUUUAGGGUCUUUUGAUAUAUUUACUCAAUAUUUAUAUCGGUUUCAAUGCAGU